CCGCACAAGCGGCGGAGCAUGCGGAUUAAUUCGAUGCAACGCGAAGAACCUUACCAAGGCUUGACAUACACCAGAACACCGUAGAAAUACGGGACUCUUUGGACACUGGUGAACAGGUGGUGCAUGGUUGUCGUCAGCUCGUGUCGUGAGAUGUUGGGUUAAGUCCCGCAACGAGCGCAACCCUCGUUCUAUGUUGCCAGCACGUAAUGGUGGGAACUCAUGGGAUACUGCCGGGGUCAACUCGGAGGAAGGUGGGGAUGACGUCAAAUCAUCAUGCCCCUUAUGUCUUGGGCUUCACGCAUGCUACAAUGGCCGGUACAAAGGGCUGCAAUACCGUGAGGUGGAGCGAAUCCCAAAAAGCCGGUCCCAGUUCGGAUUGAGGUCUGCAACUCGACCUCAUGAAGUCGGAGUCGCUAGUAAUCGCAGAUCAGCAACGCUGCGGUGAAUACGUUCCCGGGUCUUGUACACACCGCCCGUCAAGUCAUGAAAGUCGGUAACACGUGAAGCCGG
rnacentral:rRNA from 1 species